rnacentral:rRNA from 1 species
AGCAGUCGCCGCGGGAAUACGAAGGGGGCUAGCGUUGCUCGGAAUCACUGGGCGUAAAGGGUGCGUAGGCGGGUCUUUAAGUCAGGGGUGAAAUCCUGGAGCUCAACUCCAGAACUGCCUUUGAUACUGAAGAUCUUGAGUUCGGGAGAGGUGAGUGGAACUGCGAGUGUAGAGGUGAAAUUCGUAGAUAUUCGCAAGAACACCAGUGGCGAAGGCGGCUCACUGGCCCGAUACUGACGCUGAGGCACGAAAGCGUGGGGAGCAAAUGGGAUUAGAUACCCCUGUAGUCCCUGUCUCUUAUAC